GAAACGUUUAAUCUGCUCAACCCAUCUGUGCUGUGCAUUUCUCCAGCUCUCCCUGAGAGAGAGGCGCCUCCAAUCUCCACAUUGCCUUUAAUAUUCUCCUAAAUCACAUCAGCCGCGCGCUGGAAGGGCUAUUGCUGGCGUAUCACAGGUUCAUGUAAAGUGCACAGGGAGGGGGACAGGGAGACGCGGAUAAUUUCUAUUUAUUAGAGAAAUAUCUAAGUCUCGUCUUCUUGGCCCUCCGCAGAACUGCUGCCGAGCGCUCACAGCUCCUGAUUAAGCUUUCUCGUUACCAGAUGGGUGGAAGUGAAGGGUGUCGUAAUUUGUAUUUUUUGUUAAUUAGCUUUGCUGUGUGAUCUGCUGCUACAGGGGAUAGAUACUGUGCUGCCUUCCAUCUCAUGGCACCGGCUGGGGCACUGACAGGAGGCAUCUUCCAAACCACUCUCUCCCACCAUUCACAAGGUGACUUUGUGCAGUGUGACCGGACCCCCCCAAUUCCUCCCCUCUUGUAGGGUCUGGAUAUGGAGGGGCUGCAUUCCUCUAUCUGGGAAUAAUUUAAUCCUAACACGGAGAGGGUGACAGAUAGAACCCGCCAGCCAAGGCUGCAGCCUGUUGGCGUGUUACCUCAUCUGCACACGUGUAUCUAUGGUAACAGCUUCUAGCUUCAUUUCCUGCGUCCCCUAGAGGGGUGUCACAGUCAGAUCCACCUGCUUCUCACCCUCCCCGCUCCGGGGUCAUGUUAAGGUCGGCACAAUAAAUGAAUGAAAAUAAUAUAUCCUGUGGACCUAUCAUGAAGCCUAAAUUAGGGCCCCAGUCAACAGGUAAAUGGGAUACAGAACCAGAGGAACAUGGCAAUAAAGCAAUUCUAGCAGCUAGGAAAACUUGAGGACCCCAAUACAUGUGCUUUAGGGCCUUUGCCAAAAAUGUUACAUAAACCCUUUGAAACACCGCUGGCAAUUGCAAAGAAACGUGGAGUUUACACAUGACAGAUGGACAGAAAUUAGAACGGCAAAAUAAA